GCCAUUAUUCAUAAUAAAUAACUAACAACUCGAUCAAUGGACAGUGAUCGACGAACGCAGACAACGCCGGAGAGUACAGGACGCUCAGUCCUGUCUAUAAUGUUUUUAUGAUUGAAAAAUACUUAUGCGCUUUAAAAUUGCUCAUUUACAAACGUGAUAACAAUUUGAUUGUUGUAGGUGGAAAUCAAAAAAAUACCUUGCCAAACAAGAUAAUAAUAUAAUGUUUGCGUUUGGCCUGAUCAAUUCCUUUGUGGUCAGCUUAAAAAUGACAAUUCAUUCGGACUGGAUCUCAUAAAUAAUAUCGAUGAAGGUAGUAUUUGAUUUAUUUGGUACGGUUGUCGUUGGCCUCUUGGUCAUAGGCGUGCGCAGACUUUAAUUUCCGGUCGAGCCUGGAAGAAUUAGUGCCCCUAAUUUUUUUUGACACAUUAACAUACUAGGUACAUAUACAUUUUAAUUGUAAUAAUUGUAAAUUUAAAAUUGUGUACUAUGUAUAUACCUAUAAUCAAGUUGUAUGUACAAUGAGCAUACAACAUUAAUGUGCUAGACAUAGGUACUUGUUUAUUUUUUAAGUUAAAAAUAGAAUUACAUUAUAUUAAUGCAUACCUAAUGCAUGGUUUUUUGAAAUUUUACUAUGCCCCUAAAAAGAUUCCGGUCAAGCCGGGGCAUGUCCAGCUCGCCCCGUGCGCACGCCUAUGCUCUUGGUAUAUUAAUUAUAGGCAUAUAUUUUGAUAUAUUUCUACAAGGUUGUUACAGGUCUUAUGUUGUCAAAUAUUUGAGCUUGUAACUGAACACAGUUAACAUGAUAUCUAAACUCAAGUGCAUACUAAUUAAUAAUAUUUAUAUUAUAUUAUUUAAAUUAUUUUUUUAGUUAUUUGUUAUAUACGAUGACUACCUACCGAAAAACAACAAUAUAAUUUCAUAACAAUAUUUUUAUACUUUCAUUGAAUGCUUAUAAAUGUAUAAUAUUAAUUUUAAAGUAAAAGUAAUUUUGAAUACUUAUUAUUCUAAGACUGUAGCAUCAACCUUGGAAAUGGUACAAGUAUAACCACAGAUCUGAAAAAAAAACUUAGUAAUACGUGAAUUAUUUAGAUACCUAAUUGUUCGAUUCGCCAAAUAAUAUUUUUCAUGUUUUGUCUAAGGAAUAUUACUUCAAUACAAUAAUACCUACUACAUCCUGUUGUAAAGUAAGAAUUAAAACCUAGUUGUAUAUUUUGUAAUUUACUUAGGAGGAUUCACCCUCAAUACCUUAGAGUUGGUCAGAAGCUAUCUAGAGUAAAUUACCAAUAUUUAUAAAUACUCCACAACAUUUCUAGAGAAGAAAUUCAAUUUAUGUACAUACAAUACAAGCAGUUUAAGAAGUUUUCAUAUUUUUAAGAACAAUUAAGGAUGUCUUUGUAUAAAUUUAACUGCAAUUAUGAAGUGAAUACAUGGACUAUUUGUAUUGUUAUAUUUUUAGUAACAUUAAAUCUUACUAAAAUUAAAGGCUAAGGAGGUAGUACCUCUGUAUAAGUAAGCCUCUUACAGUCA